GGCCUCGCCAGGGCGCAGAGGCUGCGUGUGCGUCGCAGCUGCGCGCGUGAGCCCUGUCCUGUCCUGUCCGGUUUCCAGACGUCGUGCGCGUGCUGGUCGUGCGGGGAUUUCAGGAGCGCCCAGAGCCAUGGAGGGAAGGGGAGCCUGAGCGGGCGUCCCAGGUGGCCACUGACGUGCUCCAGAGAAUGCUGUCCUGCGCCCUUGAAGCACUGGCCGCCGGCGUGCAGGAGUCUGCCCCCUCCUACAGGGCAGUGUGCGGCUGGCUCAGCAUCUUCAGCAAACACACCCACCUCAGCAUCGACUGGACAGGGUGUCCAAAGAGGUUUUUCCGUCACACGCUGACGCAGGUCCUGACCCACAGGCCUGUGCUGCAAGGUGGGCCUCCGCCCCUCCCCCCCCCGUUCACGCCCGCGGGCAUGAGGAUCGCAAGUCAGAGGCCGCAGGGCACGUGGCGCGGGUCAACAGGCGCUGGCCAGCCCAGCGGGAGA